CACCGCGGUUAUACGAGAGGCCCCAGUUGACGGACACGGCGUAAAGGGUGGUUAAGGUAAGUCAUAAAUAAAGCCAAAGGGCCUCUUGGCCGUCAUACGCCCCUGAGCGUCCGAAGCCCAAACACGAAAGUAGCUUUAACAUCAACCCACCUGACCCCACGAAAGCUAAGAAA
rnacentral:rRNA from 1 species